UACACACGUGCUACAAUGGGUGGUACAAAGAGAUGCCAACUCGCGAGAGCGCGCCAAUCUCAGAAAGCCAUCCUCCAGUUCGGAUUGGAGUCUGCAACUCGACUCCAUGAAGUUGGAAUCGCUAGUAAUCGCGGAUCAGCACGCCGCGGUGAAUACGUUCCCGGGCCUU
rnacentral:rRNA from 1 species